UUUUCUCAUUCCACAGAAUCAAUUUUGCAAUCACAAUCCUCUUCCCAACCCUAACAGGCGGAGGCGCAGAUCUGGGCGAGCGCGAGAGGGGCGGAGCCGCGGGGCCAGGCCGGCGCGCGAGAGGGGCGGUGCCGAGCGGGCGGGCGCGCGCGCCCCUGCCUCGCGGGCCCGAGCGCCGCACAAGGCCAGCAGGCGCGAGGUAGGAGGAAGCAGCAGGCGAGCGCGUUGGCGCGCAGGCUCGCGCGGCCGCUGGGGCAGACUCGCCACACGCGCGUAGCCCCCCACGCGCAGCCCCACCAAGACGGCCUGAUCGGCGGCCGGUCACCAGGUGCAAGCCACCCACGCCAACGUAGGCGCGGCCACCAAACCAAGUGCAGAUUUGAUUUCUUUCCUUAUGAAAUUGGAUUGAAAUCAAUUUGUAUAGUGAAUUAGGUUUAACUUCUAGAGAUAGAAUUAGCUAAAUGUAAAUCUGGUGCUGUGGUUUAAAAUCAUAGAGAUAUGCAAUUGAUUUAUAAAAAUCUGGUUUGAAAUUGCUUUAGAAAAUUUGUUUUGGAUUUGUCAAAUUGUUGUGCAAUUGUUCUACUCAAAAUAAGGGUAAAAUCACCAAAUUUAACUAAUAAUAGGGGCAAAUCAGCAAGGGCAAAUUAGUCUUUUCAUAACAACUUUCACACCGUCAACUGGCUUUCAUAGAAUAGGGGCAAACCCUUCCUUAAUUUUCAAAAAGCAGGGGCAAAUUCGCAAAGUUUAAAAAGUGGGGCAAAAUCACCAUUUCGUUUCGAAAUAGGGGCAAAAAUGCCAAAGCCCCUUUAUACUAUUAUAUCCUUGAAAUCCCUGUUUAUUAUCAUGUUUGCCUCUGUCCAGGUUGAAUGCUGAUUGCCCCUCUAGCCAUGUUGAUUGCUGGUUGGCCCUCUACAAUGCUGUUUGCCCCUCUAGCCAUCUUUCUCUGUAAUCAAUAAAUACUAUAUCUGAAGUAGUUAUCCAUAAGCUCCCGAUGAAAGUUCAAAGCAGUAGGCAUUUGUCAUCUGUAUGCUUACCAGUAGGCUAUUACAUCAACUAUAUUGAAUGUCAUUGGAGAACAAACGUCUUGUUAGUUUCUAUCUCAGCUUUCAGGUAUCGAUAACACCAGUCCCAGGUAAAAGAAUUGAACACAUGGGUGUCAAGAUCGAGUUGCUGGGCCAAAUAGGUGCUCCUCGUACUACUAGGAGUAGUGCUGCAAAUAAACAAAGAACUUAUAUUACUUCACAACAACGGAAGGAACAAAAGCAGCUGCGAAGAAACGAUCAUCAAACAGAAAGAAGUAGCAAGUCAUCAAUGUGUGAAGGCAACCUUUUGCUGAACUGCUACAUUUAUAUAUAUAGCUAAUUAGGUUUGGAUGUGUUGAAACAAUUAUAUGUUGCCAACAUUAUGUCCUUGAGUACUGCGUGUGUAUCAGAUUAUGAUAUUGGAUAGCUUGUUCAAUGGAAAUUGUUUGAUGGGUGUAACUGCUUUAUCAUUGAUAAUAUAUUAUUUUCAAUUUUC